UGCAUCAGUAGCUCAGUGACAGAGCACCG
rnacentral:tRNA from 1 species